GACAGAGGAUGCAAGCGUUGUCCGGAUUUAUUGGGCGUAAAGAGCUUGUAGGUGGUUUGUCGCGUCUGCUGUGAAAUCCGAGGCUCAACCUCGGACUUGCAGUGGGUACGGGCAGACUAGAGUGCGGUAGGGGAGAUUGGAAUUCCUGGUGUAGCGGUGGAAUGCGCAGAUAUCAGGAGGAACACCGAUGGCGAAGGCAGAUCUCUGGGCCGUAACUGACGCUGAGGAGCGAAAGCGUGGGGAGCGAACAGG
rnacentral:rRNA from 1 species